rnacentral:rRNA from 1 species
UACAUGGGGUGCAAACGUUGCUCGGAAUUAUUGGGCGUAAAGCGCGCGUAGGCGGUUACUUAAGUCGGAUGUGAAAGCCCUCGGCUUAACUGAGGAAGUGCACCCGAAACUGAGUAGCUAGAGUACUAAAGAGGGUCGCGGAAUUCCCGGUGUAGAGGUGAAAUUCGUAGAUAUCGGGAGGAACACCGGUGGCGAAGGCGGCGACCUGGGUAGAGACUGACGCUGAGGCGCGAAAAGCGUGGGGAGCAAACAGG